rnacentral:rRNA from 1 species
UGCAACGCGCAGAACCUUACCAAGGCUUGACAUGUCGCGAACUCUUCUGAAAGGAAGAGGUGCCUKCGGGAGCGCKUUACGMCCAAUCAKGUSCGUGCAURRCUGUCUUGCAUCCUCCGURUCWYCGMGRCUGYUGGSUUAMGUCCCGCAACGAGCGCAACCCUCGUUUUUAGUUGCCAGCAUUAAGUUGGGCACUCUAUAGAGACUGCCGGUGACAAACCGGAGGAAGGUGGGGAUGACGUCAAGUCAGCAUGCCCCUUACGCCUUGGGCUACACACGUACUACAAUGCUACGGACAGAGGGCAGCAAGCUAGCGAUAGCAAGCUAAUCCCAUAAACCGUGGCUCAGUUCAGAUCGAAGGCUGCAACUCGCCUUCGUGAAGGAGGAAUCGCUAGUAAUUGCAGGUCAGCAUACUGCAGUGAAUUCGUUCCCGGGCCUUGUACACACCGCCCGUCACACCAUGGAAGCUGGCAACGCCCGAAGUCAUUACUCCAACCUUUCGAGGGGGAGGAUGCCUAAGGCAGUGCUGGUGACUGGGGGUGAAGUCGU